rnacentral:tRNA from 1 species
UGUUCUGUGGUUUAGUUGGUUAAAGCGCCGGUCUAGCGAAUUCGGAGUUGUGGGUUCGAAUUCCACCUGAACGC